rnacentral:tRNA from 3 species
GCCACUUUAGCUCAGUGGUAGAGCAGCUGUUUCGUAAACAGCAGGUCACCGGUUCAAGUCCGGUAAGUGGCUCCA